GACGAACCGAGCGAACGUUGUUCGGAAUCACUGGGCUUAAAGGGCGCGUAGGCGGGCUGUCAAGUCUGGGGUGAAAUCCCGCGGCUCAACCGUGGAACUGCCUCAGAUACUGACGGCCUCGAGGGAGAUAGGGGCGAGCGGAACUAAUGGUGGAGCGGUGAAAUGCGUUGAUAUCAUUAGGAACUCCGGUGGUGAAGGCGGCUCGCUGGAUCUUUUCUGACGCUGAGGCGCGAAAGCUAGGGGGAGCAAACGGG
rnacentral:rRNA from 1 species